AUGCAAACUUCUCUUUGUUCCUCUCACUUUCAUUCUCAAUUCUUUCUCUCUCUAAAAUCUUCAGAACCCUUCAUCACACACCAGAUCAAUUGCAAAUUCAUCAUCAAUUUUUAUCAGAUCUCUGCGCAUCUUCAUCGUCCACAACUUUCAACACAUACUCUCAUUGACCUCUGCAUUAACAACACUGCAUUAUCUUUUCCAUAUCACUUCUCUGCAUCAAAUCCAUAA